UUAUGAAAUUCUUCUCCUUUGAAAUCUCUUGAGCCAGGUCAGCCUCCCAAGUGCUGAUUAAAGGUGUGCAUCUCCAUGCGUAGCACUUCCUAGAAAACUCUAAUGGAGACAUCACCCUCUCUGUUUCAGCUCCUUUGACCUUCACUUUCUCCACUGGGUUGUCUGUCUAUUGGCUUUGCCCUAUUUGCUCUGACAGAGCUCUCUCUGUGCUUCUUGACAUUACAACCUUCUGUGGCAGAAAAGGGUCUGUGAGACUGAGGUGGGAACUUGGUGAGCUGAGAUGCUGGGGAGGUCAGACUGCCUGAUCAUACCCCUGUAUCCAGUGAAGAGCCCAUAGGUCCCCGAAGGACGGGCUAGAAUGAAUCAAAUAAGUGCCUUAGAAACACAGUGUUCGCCUUGCUAUGGAGACACAGGCUGCUCCUAUGCAUUGAGAUGUUUGGUAACUGUACACACACACACACACACACACACACACACACACACACACACAAACACACCAGUAUGGGACAUCUAUUGACUCUUCAAAAGCAAAUCAACCGAAACCAGGAAGGAAUGAAAAAGUCUUAUGAAACCUCACUGGUUUUUAAGAUAAUUAAUUUUUUAAAAGAGACUUGAGCAGAAGUACCCCACAGCAGUGAAUACUACUACUCCUACGUGAAUAGAAUUAUUAAGUGAAAAUCUCAGUCCCAAGCAUGGAUUUCCUUCUUAUGAGCUUUGGAUCACAGAGGCCCUACACAUGUUCAAAACAAGAUAGACCAUUGACAUUGCACUUGGUUACACACAAUCACUAGAUGGGAAGUUAACUUUUUAAUUAAGCCACCUUCUUGAUUUUCAUAUUUUCACGUUAUAUUCAUUUACUGAGUUAAUUGAUUAAAGCAAGGUAGCAUCCAUUCAUAAAUAUGGUGUGUAAAUGAAAAAUAUAGUCAAUGAAAAAUGGAACCAAACAUUGAAUCAUCUUCUUGCUUUGAAUACUGACUUCAUUGGCAUGUUGUUGCCUGAUAUGCUGGAUGUAUGAUUCUACUAGUCUGCACAUUACAUUUUAAAGAUUUUAUUUUCAUUCAUGUGUGUGUGUGUGUGUGUGUGUGUGUGUGUGCAUGUAUGAAUGAAUGUCAUGUGGGCUGGAGCUUCCAUAAGUCUAGAAGAGAACACUAGAUACCCUAGAGAUGGAGUUACAGAACCUGAUGUAGGUGCUGGGAUCUGAAGGGCAGGAAGUGUGCUUACCUUCUGAGCCAUCUCUGCAGCCAGGUUAGAAGUCUCCAAGCUUCUAGGUCCAGCAACAAGUAUAGUACCAUUGGCCUCAUGACUGUAGAGAUCUGCAGAGAAAGGCCACUACUUACCUUCCAAGGACAAUGUAUCUCUUGCUACCUGAAGUUGUUUAGAGAAACUUCUGGAAAGCUGCUAUCUGAGAGAAGGAAGAACAUUGUCACCAAAGACACUCCUGCUGGACAGGCAGUUUAUAUUUUCCUCUUUGAGUCUUACAAUGUUACUUUUUUAAAAGAGGAAACUGAGGCAGAAAGCCACAGCUCUCUUUAUUAUUUUCUUAUUCUUCUCUCAUGUAUUAUAUUCAAAUCACUCCCCCAGACUCCUUCCCCUUCCCUUUCCCCUCUCCACAGAGAAGAAGAGUAGACCUUCACAGACAUCAGUAAACACAGCAUAACAAGCUGCAAUAAGACCAGACAUAUACCAUCAUAUCAAGGCUGGACAAGGCAACCCAGUACUGGGGAAAGAAUUCCACAAGCAGCAAAAGAGGCCACCCCACCACUCCCACUAUUAAGAUUUCCACAAGAACACCAAGCUACUCAGUCAUAACAUAAAUGUAGAGGGCCUAGGUUAGACCCCUAUAGAAUCCUUGAUCUCUGCAAGUUCCCAUGAGUCCUGGUCAGUGUAUUUUAAGGGCCAUGCUUUCCUGAUGUGUCCCUGGCCCCUCUGGUUCCUGUGAUCCUUCCUUCCCCUCCCCCACAGGACUCCCAGAGUUCUGUUUCAUGUUUGGCUGCAAUAGCCACUCUUAAUGAAUGGAGUAUUUUAAGGUUCAUUGAAAGAAGUCACAGCACACUGUUCUUGCUUGACAAGACAUACCACAUGUUCCCUCUCUGUGCCUGUUUUCCUCAUCUUUCACAUGGAAGAGAAUUUCAGUGCAGAAACUGACAUUUCCUGGUUUUGUUUUGUUUUGUUUUUAUCUUAACCCAAAUAUGUAAAACUAAUUGAGCAUGAACCUUAGAGCUUCUAUGAUGUAAUCAGAACAGAGUGAGACCCUUCCCCUACCAGCUCAGGGCCAACCCACUCCUCAAAAGGGAAGGCUCGGUCUGUAAACCAUCAAGUUAGGAGGCUGGAUCCUCUCCUCUCCUCUCCUCUCCUCUGACUGUUGGCAAAGCCAUUUGUUGUUAAUAUGUCUGCCCAGUCAUUUCCCAACUUGUGAAUGUGCUUUGCUGCUUGCAUUACCAUCUUGUGCUUGCAGCUGGCUCAGAUUCCUGGAUCCCUCCCUUCCUUCCAUCCCCCAGUCAUGGUGUGGCGCUGCAGGAGCCUUCAGACACCUUGAUUCCUAAAUAACUGUGGUAUUGCUAAUAGCCUUCAGUUCUCUCAAUACUUUUAUGCUCAGCCCCAUACUCCGUGCCAUUGGUCAGCCUCUGCACAAUGCACACCAGACUUCAUCCUUUGGCUGAUGUUUCCCUAAAUGCUUAGUUCUUUGCUAGGGUAUCUGUUGUGGCAGUCUAGUUUUGAGGCAGCCUGUGCUCACUUCAGGGGGCUUCACCUAUCACUUUUAGCCUGAUACGGUCCCAGAGGCUUGCCUCUGACCAGAUACCAUGGUUACUUUCCUAUGCCUGUUACCUUGGGUUAUACAGUGUGAGAGGCAGAGAAGCUGAUAUGUCUGCUUCAGUUACUGACUUAGUAGCUGGCCCACAGCAGAUGCUAGACUCCAGUUGAUGCAAUAUGGUUAUUCCUUUUCUGUCUGGAAGCUCCUUCCUACCUGGUAAAAUCAUUCUUAGCCUCCUUUCCCUGUUCCCAGCAACUCUUCAGUCAAGACUUCCUUUGCAAAGCUCAUGCAGGAUUGCUGACUGGAUCAAUUCCUCAGAAAGCACUGCUUUACCCUACUACUGUCACAAAGAUAUGUACAUCCCCAUCACAUGGGAGUACAUAUUUAAGCUUUAUUAAGAAUUUUUGUGAAAGCCGUUGUUCUGAACUGAAAUUCUGCAUGAGGCCUCAGCAGACCAAACCUAAACAGAGCAGAGUCGCACAUGUUUUGCGUGGCCAAUCCAAAUUCUGAAAAGAACUAGGUUCUGUGAAGAGAGUGAAUCUACAACUAAUCAGGAUGCUCUGUACCUGGGAUGGCCUGAAAAAGAUGUCCUCUGUGUUUUAGUUCUAUAGAAAAGGAGCUUUGAGAUCACCAGUCCAACUUUUGUUCCCUUUAGGACUUGUAAAAUCAAGCUGCUCCAUUCAUUGACUCUCUCAAUUGAGCUGGGCAUGGUGGAUCAUAACUAUAUUCCAGCACUCUAGAGUCUAUGGUAAUCUAAGGAUUACCAUGACUUCGUCCCAAGCCUUGGUAACAUAAGAACUUUAGUUGAUAAAAGGAAUCAUGCAGAGGUGUGUUUCAUGAACCAGCCCUAGGCACUUACUCAUCUAGUAAAACCAAGUCAAAAUGAACCAUCCCUGCGCUCUUUGUCCCUUACACCUUUCUAAAAUGCACCUAGUGCCCACUGCCAAACUAUCUGAAAUGGUUUGAAUGAAAUGAUACAUGAUGUGACAGCUUUCAGCCAGAGCUCAAGACUACAAAUUUGUACUGAAAUUCUAGAUUUCCUAGGACAUCAGCAACUAUACCAAUUUACUUUAGCAAAAGCAGAUGGGUAUUCAAUGACAAAGAGAGGAAUAGGACCUGGAAUUUUCAGAGUUCCCAAUGUGCACCCCGCAUUAAGUCUAUAAAGCCAGUGACCUCAGAUGCCCCAAUGUGUUUUCAGACUUUCUUAUGGGAUCUUUUGGCUCUGGAGGUAGCAUGUGCUCCUCGAAUCUUCUUGAGGACUUCAAACCACAGAGCAGUCCUCCAAGUGGACCAGUGAGUUCUACAUGUGUGGACAAACACUGGCUAAUCUUGGACCACAGUCUCUUCUCACCAGCUAAUAAAUGUUUUUCUGUGCUAAAGGAGGCUGUGGACUGCCAGCAAGUGGAGAAGUCGGAAGUGUGUCUUUCAAUCCUCACACUUUCCAAAAAUUAUUUCCAUUCAUGGUCUCCUUCUUGGUUCCUGCAUUCUUUAGCACUACAUUCACUGCCUGGACCUUCUCUCUCUGCUCAGGGUCAUCUUAUUGUAUCUGUCCUCCUUCCUUGUCCAGCUUGUUUCACAGCUCUGAUUGCAACAGAAAGGGUCUUCUUUGCACUGCUUUUACUUUUAAAGAUAGAUCAGAUACAGCAGAUUCUUUGGGAUUUACCUUACAGUUACGGUGUGGUGGUGCUUUUGGAGGUCUGAGGUGCCUUUGAAAUAUAGCUGCGGUUUUAGAAUGAAAGAUCUUGCCUUUCAUCUUCCUCACUUUAGGGACAAUAUAGCCAAACUCAUCACUAGCUCCCAAAUAUCUGAGUAAAUUGAUGUUUUCAGGGAAUAUAGUAUCCAAGUGAGAGCAUUACAUGGCUAAACGUCUUUCUCAUUCUUUAUUUCUUCUUACUGGUGUAAAAAUCUUCCUUGGAUGGUUCUCUCUUUUAAUAGCCAGAGGCAGUAGAAGGAAACAUGACAUAACAUCUGACCACAUGCUAUCAUCUGUUCACUUAUCUAAUUGAAGUUUCUCAUGGCCCUUCAUUCUUCAGAAAUAAAGCAGCACACAUUCAUCUUAAAUCCAGUUGAUUAUCUGCAGACUGCCAUGUUCUGGGAGAAAGUUCUGAUAUCACAGUCUUGUUCUUAUGUUAUUGGCUGAAGAUUGAAAGUCCAGGCAUGCAUUUCUACCUAGUUUGGUAAGUAACACAUGUUAGGCUCACAAGGCUUAGGACCACCUGGUGAUGUCUGCAGUAGCCAUAGCUACCCAGUGACUUCUUUAUUUUAAUUACUGAGCACUGACUGCCACUUUGAUGAUGAAUAUAUGCCCCCAGUCUGGCCUAAAGGACCCGUAAGGUCACAGUAUAACUAAUUAUAAUAAGAGAUAUACUUUGUACUUGUGUUUUUCCCUCCUCUCUCUGACUUUGGAAAGCCUCAGCCAAGAGAUGGGGCUGCCAUUCUGCUCAGCUUAGCAUUCUGUUGAAUAAGGAAAGGGAACUUUCGUAGUUAUCACACAUUUGGCAGUACACAGUUGAUGUUUUUCAGAUCUAGACUUUGAAGCAUCCUUCCAGCAGGCAGUUUUUAGUUCCUGGAGUCAAGGCAAGCCUCUGCUUUAGUGACACAGAUGAACAGGAUGCUGGGAUUGCUGUUGGGAGAGGCGGUGUGAAUCUAUUUUUGAGUUAACUCUGGAGACAGAAUGGAUUGCCUCUGUCUAGGAGACAACCUUUGGCUGUAUACUUUAUCUUUUUGGUGAAUUAGGUAAUUAGAGGUCAGUUUGCUAAGUGUUUUGAAUCCAGAUAAGAAUUAAGUUUUGUGAAAUAAUCGUAUUACAGAAAAUGAGGGAAUUAGAUAAGCAACUUUUGUUUGCAUUAGGUAAAUUUAUACCAGAUACAGCCCUGGGUGGCAACAGAAUUGUAUGUAGUGGUGGUGAUGGUGGCUUGUGUGUGUGUGUGUGUGUGUGUGUGUGUGUGUGUGUGUGUUCUCUGGAUUAUACAGGAAACAAGAGUGAAGGGUGAUCCAUCCUGUUCUUCUGGGGAGCACGCACCAGCAAGGGGAUCUGCAGGGAAUAAACACAGACAUCCUAUGGUGUUCACUGGCUGUAACUCCACUUCCUCUGAAGAACCUCUACUGUUUAGGUGCUCACUGACUCCGGGCAUGGUGCAGAAACCAGCUUAUCUUUUCCUCCAGUGAUAGGUCCUACCUACCACAUGCCUACCACAGGCUGCGGAGCAAACAUUCUUCAGAAUCUUCUAGAAACAAGUGUUCUCCCAUAGAACUCCCAUAAGAAACUCUCUGAGCAGGCACUUAGAUGUGUAUAUAUUCCAAGACAGGGACUUUCCUUGGUGCUAGCAAAGGAUUGGUACUGAGAUCUAAGGAACCUGAGGCCCAAGAGCAUUCUCAGGACCAUAGUGGCAGAGGAACGUCUCCUUCCUCUUCCUCCUGUUCCUGAGGAUCUUGCUGACAGAAAUGUGCAUGUUUCAGUCUCCUGAGACUGUCAUUUUCAUUAAUCACACAGAACUAUAAAAUAAGACCACUCCCAGUGAAGAAUAGAUUUCAUAAUUUUCUUAUGAAUAUGAAUAUGUCAUUUAAAAAUUAACAGCUAGUAAUUUGGCUUAAAUUUGCAUGUCUCUUGAGAAAGGUAAAGCGUUAAAUAUGUCAUCAUGAUUUGUCCCAUAAAUAGAUGAAUUGUGCCAACCUCAUGUGGUUCAGACUCCUCCAGCCAAGCAAAUCCUGAGUCUGGACUGGAUGUCAUCUAGACAAUGGGUCUUGAUGCCCUCAUGACUGAUUAAACCAGUGGUUCCCAACCUCUGGGUCAUCCCUUUGGGAAUUGAGCCACUCUUUUCACAGAGGUCACAUAUCAGAUAUCCUGCAUAUCAGAUAUCUACAUUACUGUUCAUAACAGUGGCAAGAUUAUAGUUAUGAAGUAGCAAUGAAAAUAAUUUUAUGGCCGGGGGUUGGCACAGCCUGAGGAACUGUAUUCAACUGUGACAGCAUUGAGAAGGUUGAGAACCACUGGUUUAGACUAUAUGUCCCUUACUUCUUUGCCGACCCUGACAUGAACCUAAGUCUUCAUUUAUCUGGGAUUGUUCUGUGCGUGUGUGCACUACUCCCAUUCCAGAAGCCUCUUCUGCUAUUAGCUCAGAGUGUGGCACCUGCACGCACCCUGCGGGAAGACAUCUGUACUGGGACACUCGAGUAAAAACAGAGAUUCAAAAAACCAGACACUAGUGAGCAUUAUCUCAGUGCCUUCAGACAGGGUGGCUACACAGUCAUGUACUCAUGCAGGUAAGGCUACACAUUGUAUUUAAGUCCUCACAUCUUUGUCUUGCCAUUCAUAACUGUUGACCAAUGAGAUAUACUUCUUUUAUUUUAUACUCUGGAUGCCACAAAUUAUGUUGGAAUUUCUGUUUCUGAUAAAUCUCACUCUUCAACUGGGUCCUUGGUUUUUAUUUUAUAUGGGUCUACCAUCUGUAAUUCCGCCGUUGUUUAAGUAAUUGACACAGUAUCAUGUCUAUCAAGUCUACUUAAAAAUUAUACCAGAUUACAUAUAUGUAAAUAGCUGGGCUUUUUGGUUCAAUACCUACUAGUUACUUCUUGAAGUUACUUAAAAGAUUAUCAUGUGUCAGUUGUCGCACAGAGAUGAGAGCGUAUGGGGGUUGGAGAGGCAUGACUUAUUUGGAGAGAGGAGAGAGGGAAGAGUACAUGAAGGAUCAUUUAGGCAGGAAGAGAAGGAUACAUUGGAAGGGGGUUAUUUGGAAAGUGGAGGAAGGAAGAGAACACUAGGAUGAACAAAAGAGCAUGUCCAGCCUCUGUUUUGUAUAAAUUAACUCAAUUAUAGUUGGAUCAAGUAUGGGUUAAUGAGAUAAUCUGUCAAAGUGCCUGGGGUAUUCCUAAACAUGCUAAAUGAGACCUAUAAUAAGUGGGUUUCUCUUCCUUGCUCUGAGACAGGCUUUUCUAAAUACAGAGAGGAAGCCAGCAUUUUUCUGGCAGAGGAAGUUUUAAGUUUAAUGUAUGACAUAUCCAUUCCUGAUCCCUGUGGUUAGGAAGAUGCCUAGACUCAUGGGCAUGGACUCAUAUGGCAUCCAUUUUUUCUUUGAUAACAUGUAGAGAGAUUAGCUCUGGUGAGAAAACACAGAAUUCUAUUUCCUGAAUGAAAGAAUAUAUUUGCAUCAAGAUGUUCCCUUAUUCUCCACUCCCACUUGGACCUCGGUUCUGUGGCACUGUUGUAUGACAUUUUCUUGAAGAGAAUAUGAACAAAUAUGUACUAAUCCCACAGACAGGAGGCCAAUCACAGACCAAAGAACUAAUUCUAUCAAAGCCUAGCUUGAUGAAUCAGUUAGUGUAAUGGGGUUAUUUAUAGGGGAUCAAGUGGACAUCUACACCACCAAGGAAAUAUCCAUCUCCUCCAGGAACUGUUAAUUUAUAUACCCUUGGAAGGUGGUCUUGUGAGCCCCUCUUCCCCUGCUAUGGACAGUUAAUGCGUCCAAUCCUUUGGUAUGGCGUAUAAAGAGGGCAAUAGCAGCCGUGUUCUACACCAAAGCUUGCAUUCUACAACUGUGCUAACCAGUCAGCUCCUUCUGUCAUUGAUGGAGCUCCAUGCACACCCUUGCUCAGCCAAGUGGUUAGAAUCCCUGCUGUUCCUCCACUGACUGGUGGCCAAAACUUUCUGAUCCACAUCCAUUCAGAGUCGGCCAAGGUCUCUUGAGAAGUGAUGCCAAGCAAACACAAGCUCUUCUCUUCAGGAAUCACAUUUUCCUCUUUACUUUACCGAGUUUAGCAGAGCUUCGUAAGUGGAUGCUAAGAGUGUCCAUGAAUUUUAACAGUAGCAACAUUCUCUAAACAAACCCCUCCACCAUACUGAAAAACAAUCAAACAAAGCCAGAUACCAGCUUUGUCUCAUUGAGUUUUAAGGUCAGAACUUCUACAUUGAUUAUUUUUUUCUUGGUGAUAUAUAGUAAUUCCACAUAGGAGUUUUCUAUUUAAUUCUCAUAUCAUUUAUAUAAUAUAUUGCUUUUUAAACAAGUUAUACAUUAAUAAUUUGUAAUUACAAUUUUAUAGUAGUGGUUAUAUUAUCACAAACAUACACAUAUACACACACUUAUAUAUAUAUACACACACACACACAUCACUAAUUACUACUAUUAGCUAUUAUAGUUUAUUGUCUGUAGCUGUAUCUAGUUGUGAUGCUCAUAACAUUUAAUAUAAUGGUUCUACUAUUGUAAAUGUUAUCCAUUUAGUGGAUUUUUGGUUAUGUGAGAUAACUGAGUAUUGUAGACAUACUAUUCAGUGAGAUUAAUGAUUCAAAUGUAUUCUUGAAUUUAGCUUUGGAGUAUUUUAUUGAGAAUUUUUGUCUCUAAGUUCAUCAGGGAAAUUUGUGGCAAUUUUCUUCUUUUUCUGCUUUUGGUAUCAAAUUGAUAUGAGAUUUGUAAAAAGAGUGAUGCUCCUUCCUUUUCUAUGUCCUGGAGUCGUUGGGGAAGCAGUGGGGAGUAGUUCUCUGAAGUUGUGGUAAAAUUCAUCAGUACAGCUAUAUGAGCCUGGAUAGUUUUUAGUUAGGAGAUAAUUACUGCUUCAAUGUCAUGUUUUGUGAUAUAUCCGUUUAAAUUAUUUCUCUCCUCUUGGUUUAAUUUUGGUAGGUCAUAUACACCUAGAAAUUUAUCCAUUUUCUUUAUGUUUUCCAAUUUAUUGCACUGUGGUUUUUUUUUUUUUCAAUGAAGACCGAAUGUUUUUCCAAGUUUCCUUAGUAUCUGCUGCUCCCUUUGAAUCUCUAAUCAUACUAAUCUGAAUAUUUUGUUUUCUUUCAGUUAGUUUGGCUACGGGUUUGUCAGUACGUGUUAUCUGUUCAAAGACUUGACUCUGCCUCUCUGAUUCUUCACACUGUGUUUGUUUCCAGUUCAUCAUUUUCUGCUCUGAUCGUGAUGAUUUCCUUCCAUCUACUAAUUUAGGAUUUGGCUUUGGGUUUUUCCUCAGAGCUCUAAGAUAUAUCGUUAUUUAUUUGAUAUGGCUCUGAUUUCAUAGUGUACACGUUAAGAGCUUUAAACUUCUCUCUUAAACCUUCUUUCAUUGUAUCCCAUAGGUUUGGGUAUGUUGUGUUUUCAAUUUCAAUUUUUAAAUUUCUUUCUGAUUUCUUUAAGUCCCAUUUGUCAUUAACAGUGUGGUAUUUAAAAUUCCAUGAGAUUAUAUAUGCUCUAUAGUUUUUUUUAAUUUCAGUUUCUCUAUAUUUAUUAACACUUCCUUGGUAUUCUGAUAUAUAUUUUCCUUCCACAGGAUGCUAAAAAAUGUAAAAUUGCAAUUUUGGAUGAGGUGUGCUAUAGCUGUCAGUAAUGUCUACUUAUCAAUGAUAUCAUUCAAUUUGCAUAUUUUUCUACUUGUUUUGUUGAGAAUACCUGUUAUUUAGCAGGAAUGGAUUAUUAAUGUCACCCCCUACUCUUAUACUAGGUUUAACCUGUAAUAUUAUUUUUACCAGAGUUUGUUUUAUGAAAUUGGGCACACCUUUGCUUGGAACACCUAUAUUUCAGAUUAUAAUGACCCUUAGCCAAUAUGAAGUGACAACCCUUAUUGUUUUAUAUUGCUUUCUUGGGUGUUGAAAUAGAACCAACUGCUUGCUUUCAGACCUUGUUUGUUUGGAAUAUCUCUUCUCAUCCUUUUACCCUAAGUUAGUUCCUUUCUUUUAUAAUGAGGUAUGGUUAUUUGAAGGCAGCAAAUAGAUGGCUGUCUUUCUCCUCCUCCUCUUCUUCCUCCUCCUCUCCCUCCUUCUCCUCCUCUAACUUCUCCUUUUUGUCCUCCUUCUCCUCUUCCUCCUCCUCUUCUUCCUCCUCCUCUUCCUCUGCCUCCUCUUCCUCUUUCUUCUUCUUCUCCUCCAGUUUCCUAUCCUGGUUCUUUUGAUUGAGAAUUUAGACCAAUAAUACUCAGAUCUACCAUUGAAGCUGUGCACUGCUCUCUUUGUUGAAUUCUUCUUGCAUGUCUUGCAUUUCUUUCUUAUUUCAUUCAGAUGCUUUCCUGUGUUCUCAUCCAGCAGCUUACUUUCUUCAUCAGUUUCUUUCAAUAUACUCACAAUCAUUCUUUCCAGUCCUGUUUCACAUUUCAUCUAAUUUGCACUCACUAAAUGACAUUGCUGCAGUAUUAGUAAGUUUCGGAGGACUUAUACUGUCUUAGCUCUUUUUAUGGUUCUUGUGCUAACUAUUGGGCUUUAUAGAGCUGAGGUUGCAAUGUUUUGGGGUGUUUUGUUUUCUUUUGCUUCUUUACUUUUUAUAAGCUAUUUUAUUUUUCAGUUGAAAAAUUAGUAAUGUUCAUGUGAGACUUGGAUGUUGUAGAGUUCCCCAUUCCAGGAACUUACUGCCAGGUGGAAACUGUAGAGUGAAUUAUUGGCACAUUUAGGCUGAAGUGAGGUUCCCAAAUUCCUCUGACGCCAGCAGGUUCUGUGUGAUGCUGUCUAUAGGAAAGGUAAGAAGGAACCAUUGGUUCUGUAGCUUCAAUGUUCCUAGGGUUCUGGCAUGUAUUCUACACUUCACCGUGACCUCUGCUAGUCCUGCAGGUUCUUUUUGUGUGGGGUGAAGCUAUUCCUCAUAGCUCCUGCUGCUCUCUCCUAGGCAGCUUGAUUGGGCUGCCCAGGCUACCAAGCCUUAGAGAGCGCUUCCAGCUGGGCAGUAAUUCUCAGCUUCCCUGCCUGCUCCUUGGCUUAAUAACCUCCUUUACAGACCUUGUCUCUUGGAAGAUAAGAGCAUAAUGUGUGUUAUUGUCAAGUGGAGCCUUUGAGACAUAAUUAGGCCAUGAGAGGGGAACCCUUGUGAAUAGGGUUAGUGCCCUUAUAAAAGAGACUGAAGAGAAAUAUGUAGCUACAUAAUAAUUUGAAGUGUGUCGAUAAAAUGGGUAAUUUAUCUAUUGGGGAAAACAUAAAUUUCAAAACUGAAAUGAAGAGAAGAGAGAAACAGCAAUAUUGAAGAAACUAUUAAAAAACAUUUAAAAAAUUCUCCACUGAAAUAGAUGAUUUUUAGAUCCCUCUUUGGAUUGGUGGUCUAUAGGCUAUGAAAUGUGAUGGGUUCACUGUAGAGAGAUGUAGAUGCACCUGUUCAAACUGUGGCUGCGACCAAGAGUUCAUUGGCCAAGAUAAGCACAGAGCACGGUGCUUGUACAAGACAGCCUGUGGUAUAUCCACCACAGAGUUGAUUGGUGAGUCCUAGGGACUUUGCAAUGGUAGUAGUGUGCAUUUGUGCAGAAGAAAAAGGAGCAUCUCUGCCCAUAUCAGGGCUGUGAGACUGAUUCCAAUACCUUAAGCUGUGCCCUUUAAUUUGAACCCCUGGUGAACUACAUUUAAAGGGCCACAUGAAACCAAGGCCUAGGUUUAUUUUUUAGGGGUUUCUGCCACUUCAGGAUAAUUUUUAUAUUUUUUAAGGAUUGGUAAGUCUAAACUAAAUGAAGCUAGAAUCCUGUGACAAGAGUAUACCCAAUCUACUAAACAAUACAAGAACAUAUAUGACAAAGUCCAUUACACAAAAUUCAGUGUAUUUGCUUUCUAGCCUGUGGUGGUUUGAAUGGAAAAUUUGCCCAUGGGCUCAUGCUUUUGAACACUAUUUCCCCUGAUGGAGGUGUUUGUGAAGGUUGUGGAAUUGUUUGGAGGCAGAGCUUUGCUGGAGGAAGUAUGCCACUGGGGGUAGGCUUGAAGUUUUAUAGCCUGCCCCCACUUCCUGUUUUCUCUGUUUGCUGUGUGGUUAUAAUGAUCCUGAUCCUGCUUCCAUGUCUUCCUUGUCUGUUGUGAUGCCUUCCCGGCCAUGUGUUCUGCAUCCAUUUGAAACUGACUCAAAACAAACCCUUUUUUUUUCCCUUAAGUUGCGUUUGCUUUUUGUUUUUUGUUUCUCACAACAGAAGAGCAACUAUAGGACUCAUCAUAGAGAAUUGUCUUCUAACACCUGCUCAGCUGGCACCACCAGCUUUUUACCUUCUUGAAGAAUAUCAGCUUCUUCUAUUUAAAGGUAGAAUGCCUUAGAGAAUGCAGAAAGUGGACAAAAUUAGGUCCAAAAGUCUUUUUUCUUUACUAUAUAGCUAUAUACAAGGGAUCCAGGGGUAGUAGAAGGUUUAGAUAAUAAUUAUCAAAUUUUGGAAGUAAAGUAAGAGUCUGUGAAAGACAAAGGGAAGAGAAGAAAGAUGAAAUAAAUGACAUCAUCAUCUAAGUCAUAUGAAGAAAAUCAUUUUUAGAAACCCACAUGGAAAGAGUGACAAGUAUUGGACACACACUGGGAUUUGUGACAGUAUCAGUCGUGUAGAAAUGUCACUCAUUUAGAACAUAUGUAUGUAGGCACACUUCUCUGGUUCAGGCAUCGUUUUCAUUACUGAAAUACAAACUUCGAGUCUGAGAAUUGGCUGAGAUGUGGCAACAGUCAGUGCACUCCAUGGAGAAGGCUAUUUUCUUUCUACUGUGGUGGGAAAGGAAGUAAUGGAGGGUGCCUGGCUUCAGGAAGCCAUGCCUAGUGAAAGCUUAGCCCACACUCGUUAUCCUGCACUCUCAGGGUAAACAUGAAAUCAUUCAGGAAGAACUGAAAACUAGAACCAGGACAGGAGAGGUAGUAGUUGAAGUAUUUCAUUAGAGUUGCCCAUUUAUCCUGCAAUAGACUUUCCCCAGGUAGUUCUGGUGGAAUUCUUUACUAACUACCUCUGAGGUCCUAAAACUGUGUGGGGGCAUUCACUGAAGAACACUGCCAAUUUCUUCCCCCUUUCCAGCCUCAAUCAUCUUCCCCGCUGAUUUCAUUGGUUUGAGAUUCAGAGGUAGGGUCUUGAGUGGAAGUAAAGUUGUACUCCUCUGGUGCAUUGUCUAAGUGGGAAAGUCCACCUCCAGCCAAGGCAAGGCAUCUAUAGCCUUAGCAUCCAUCUGAAGCAUGCAGUACUUAAUUGCAUUGCUGAUGAGUCGGUAGUGGAACCCAAGGCAGCACACAUGCUAGUCAAGUGUUUUACGACUGAGUUCAGGAGUCUGAGGAAAGAUGGUAACAAUUCCAAGAUCAGCCUGGGUUACGGAGGAAGUUAAAUGUCAGCUUAGAAGACUUAGUGAUAUCCUAUUUCAAAGGGGAAAAAAAAGAGAGGCCUUAGACUCUAGCUCAAUGGCAGAGCAGUAGAUUCACAUGCAUGAGACCCUCUGUUCAAAUACCCUCAGGAUAGUUUCCACAUUUUUAGCUGUGCAUCAAUCAAUUAUUGAAGUUUUCUGUUCCGGUGGUCAAGAACUUCAACAAAGAUGUUUGCUAACUAGGCUUUGGCUUCGGUCCCAAGUGUCAACCAAUACAUAAUUCAUGUGAAAAUAAACACUCCUGUUUUUGCAGUUCCAGUAGAAGUUGUUAGAUUUUUUUAAUUUGUUUGUUUUCCCAGUUAACUCAAAGUCUCAUCAGCUAUGUUUUAUUUUUUAUGCUUUAUAUCUUUAGCCAAAAACCUCAAAUGAAAGAUUGGGAGAAUGUCUGAAGUUUAUUAAAAGAGCAUAAGAGAAUACACGAUUAGAGGCUUGCUCAGUUCACGUAUAUUACAUCUACAGGGCUGCAGACCCCUAAGGGAUGAGUGCCCACGGACCAGAGACUGUUAGGGAUGGGAAUAUGUCUUCAUUCUGAAUAACCUCUGCUCUCCCUUGGUGCACAUACUUUGUGUAGUCCGGUCUGCGAGGUAUGAGGCGAGCUUCAUCUUUAACAUAUAGAGCUCAAGAGUUGAAGGGAAAAAUAUAACCAGUUCAAGGCCAACCUGGGCUUGGGUAUCUUAGUGAGAUACUAUUUCAAAAUAACUAGUAAAGAGAGCCUGAGUUUAACUCCCAGUAUCAUAACAUUCACCACCAUUGUGAAGCUUGAUGCCUAAGAAUAAAAUUUCCAUCUAUUACUUACUGGAAACUCCCAAGAGUAAUAGCUAGGACAACAGCAGGAGUGCAUUUCAGGGCAUUUAGCAUUUACCUUAAACCUAGUAGUGCCUGAUUUAGCUGCCUAGAAUGCCUAGUCAAAAGAAUAAGUUUCCAUGUAUAGGCAGAAUGAAGGUCAUUACAGUCUGCUUCACUGAGACACCAGGAAGACAUUUGUUCUGCUAUACUCAGCCGACUUACUGUGAGAAUGUAAGAUUGACGUGGAAGCUGCUUCCUCAUUUAUGCACAACAUGGCUCUGAAAGGGCAUCUCUCAGCUCUGAGGAAGUGUGUGGGCUUUUUUCAUCCUUUGGAUGGCAGACCAGGUGAGUCUACCCAGUUUACAAAGGCAGCUUUGUACCUAAAGCCUGGAAAGGUCUACUUGUCUCCCAGUGUGGCUCACACUGAUAUGGCAACCCACUACACAGAGCUUCACUUCUCAGUGUGGCCAGUUUAUGGUGACAGAAGUCCAUACCAAGAAUUCUGCAGCACUGUGCUCGGUGGGGUUGUAGAUGUAGGUACAUUACAUUCAUCCCAAAGAUACAGGAUCUCUAGAGUAUGGGAAUCUAAUUUAUGAAUCCCUGGAUCCCUACCUACAUGUCAUUGUGUUGAUAUAUGGCGAUCUCUAAAAGCACUUUUGUAUCUUAAUUAAUUGAAACCACUGUGCUGAAAGACAAAUGUUUUCCCAUGUAUGUUGCCAAGACAGUGUUUCAACCCUAGUGUCCAUCAGCUGAUGGGUGUAUAAAAAUAUAUCAUGAAUAUGCACUGUGUCAUAUGACAUAUCCAUAAGUAGGGUGAUGUAACAUAUAACCUGGGUAAGACUGGAGAACAUUUUAAGAAAGCUAAGACAAGCACAAAAAUAUGAAGGUGACCUAGACACUGGACCUUGAAAACAUGAUCACACAGAAGUUGAAAGUAGAGUAAUGGUUCCAAGGGGCAAGGAAUGGGAGGUUAAGAAGAUGUUAGUCUAUGUGUGUCAUGUCAUGUUAUUGCUAGACAGGGAACUGAGCUAUGCUGUUACAUCACACAACUGAGUGAAUGCAGACAGCAGUAAUGCACAAUCAUGGCAGUAUGUGUGCCUUAUCAGAAUCAGAGAGCAUGGAGAUAUAGGUCAGUAGUAGAACUCUUACCUCUCCAUGCCUUGGGUUUGAUGUUUAGUAGUGUAAAAAUGACAACAAAACUAGUAAAUGUACUUAAUAUCUCCAGGUAGCUAAAAAUUCUCAUCAUAAGAGAUGAAGGUGGUGAAUUAUACAAUGUAUGCAUAUAUUGAAACAGAAUGUUGUACCCUAUUAAAUAGAUAUGAUUGGUAUUUGUCAAAAAAUAAAAGUAAAAUUUUUUAUUGUCAUAUUAAAAGCUAUGAUAAUUUGUAUUAAUUGUUGACUUGAUAGAAUCUAUAGUCACCUAGGAGACAAUCCUCUGGGCAUGCCUGUGAUGUGUUAUAUAGACUAAGUUAGCCUUUUGGUAUAUGUGUGAAGAGUUAGGUUAGUUAGGUUAAUGGUGGGAAGACCUACCCUGAAUAAGAGUAGCAUAGCCUGGGCUAUGGUCUUGGAUUGUAUAAAAGGAGAAAAAGAACUGAGAACCAAUAUCCAUCUCUCUGUUGUGUGUCCUGACUGUGGAUGCAGCAGGACCGGCUAUUUCAAACUCCUUCCUCACUUAGUAUACAGAGUCUACAAUGGUUACAGUCAUUGUCUUAAUCAACAUUGGUGGGUAAGUUUGACAUGGCAGUUCAUGCCUGUAAUUCUAGCACUUAGGCAAUUGAGGCAGUAACGAUGUUACUGAUGAGUUAGCAGAUAAUCUAGGGUAUGUAAUGAAUUCCAAGUCAUCUUGGGGAACAAAGUAAGACUUUGUCUCAAAAGAUAAACAAACACAAAGAAAUAUACAAACAAACACAAACCCUCCAACAAAAAUAAGAGAUGAACACAGUCUAACUGCCAUUUUAGGUGAAAUAAAACUAUAUUCAAACUGUGCUGCUAUAGUAUAUGUGCAUAUAUAUAUAUACACACACUUGGCAUGUAUACAUGCUUGCAUAUGGAAACCUGAUGUCAGUAUCAGGUAGUUUUCUUGAUUGUGCUACAAUAUAUUUUUAGAGAGAGUCUCUCAUUGAAUCUGGAGUUCACUGAUUUGGCUUUAGGCCUAGCCACUGAGCUAUGGCGAUCCCAGGAUUGUGCCUCUGUGCCUGGCUUAUUAUGUUGGUAUUAGAUAUUUGAACUAAGACCUGGAACCAUUUUUUUUUUUUUUGCACAGUCACUUCCCUGGGCCAUGCAUUUUUAAAACAGUGCCUUGGGCUGCAAGAAACCAUAAUCACAAUUAGUCAAUCCAUUCAUGAAGCCUACCCACAAAUGAAUUUUGAACACUGUGGCCACUCCCAGAAUAAUUUUAGAACCUGAUUGGCCAUGGAAAUGCUAAGCUGCAGUAAGAGGAGGCUCAGCAUAAUUAAAUUGUUUAAAGGAUAUAGAAAUUCUUUAUGUAAGAAUCAUGGAUGGGUACUUCAGUCUGGUAGCUUCUCUAGUCUUCUUUUAUUUAGGGGAAAGGCUCCAUCGCGUCCAGUGUGAGGCUGCAGUCAUUGGUCUUUGUCCCAGCAAUAACCAUAGAUACUACAAGCCAGUGUCUUGUUCUAGCUUUGGAGAUAAGAUCCUUGGGGAAACCUAAGGUGGAGCCACAGCCUGCUAGGGUGACUCUAGAGGUUGAGAUUGCUGUCUAGAAGACAUGCUACUACCAUAGAAGGUGAGGAAAUGGAUUUUCAUGUAGUGUUUCAUGGGAUAAAUCCAAGUUCUACAAAAGAUAUGCUGACCUGCAAUGUAUAACUUGCUACUGACAACUGAGAUAAUCUCAAUUUUCUUUCAACUUGAAAAUUUGAGCCAAUAAAUAGGGAGUCAGGUAUUUGCUUCCAAAUCAGAAGCUUCUCCAUUUUGAAAUGCUUUGUAAGUCCAGGGUGCGCUUACUUUCUAAACUCCUGUUAAGGUUGUCCUCAAGUAUACCCAAGGGACCAACUCACCUGGCAAACUACAUCCUUUUCACUUUUUCCCUAGAAGUGUGCACCCACUGCAAUCUCUGGCUCUACAGCUAGACAUUCACCCUAAAGACAAAUCAGACAGAAAAGACAAGAAUAUCACUGAUAUUCCCUUUGAGGAAUCUGAAGAUAUUUGGCAUUUCUUUUCAUGGUGUACCUUAUGUGUCAAGAGGAGACUCGUGUUCCUAAACUGGUGUUUUGUCCACCAUCUCCUCCAUUUUUCAAGGUGCUAAGAUUGAAUCCAUGACCUCGAUACAUGAGAGAUAAGCACUCUACCACUGAGCUGUAGACCCAUAGGCACUUGCAAAGCACUGUGUAACAUUAAGUAAUUUAUCACCAGGUCACACCACAAAGAAUGUGAGCUUGGGCUUCAGUUGUCAGCAAUUUGUCAUGUUUGUCUCUUUCCUAAGUAUUAGUAUUUCAUUGUGUUAAAACCUGGCCAUUCGUAGUAUCUCCAUGUGAUCAGAAAGGAGUAAAUAUACUACCACUCUACCAUUUUGGUUCUUCUUCUUUAAAUAAGCUUGAACAGACAUUAUCACGUUGAUUGUAACCUCAAUAGUAUUGUUAUAAAAUUAAACCCUCAAUAAUGGUCUGUAAACUAAAAUGUGAUAUUGAAUUGUAACUACAUUACUUGGAAGAGAAAUAGUGCAGGCUUGUUAGGCAUUUUCUAAAAUACAAGUCUGGCUGUCAUUGCUGCUAGAGGGGCAGUGUAGCACCUGUGUGCCCACAAUUUAUGGCCAAACCCCACAACCCUCAUUGAUUACCUGGUCUCAGCAGGGUUGAAACUUGCCCACUACUAUGGAAAGUUAUGGCCUGCUAUUGGGGAAAGGACUUUAAGACAAGCAGCCCGCACUCCUGCAGCCUGAUAGAAUCAAAUUGCUUUGUCAUGCCUUUCAAAGUAAUUCCUGCCUAUAAGACAGCCUCAGAAGGUACCUAACCCUUUGGGGAUGUGUAUGCAUAUAUGUUUUAAUGAGCCAAAUACUUGAGAUGUGCUCCGAGUUAGGUGUCAGAUAGAGUGGGCGUGAUAAAACUAUUCUUGAUAAGUCCCCAUCCCUAGAGUAGAGUCAGUUAUGUGGCCGCAGGUUAUGUCAUGUGCUGAGAAGUAACAGGCGUGGAGCUGUGAGGCAGUGAGGAAGAACACACUGUCUUCCUUUGCCAGCUCUGCCCUGCCAGUGUUGCUGAGCACUGUGUGUGUCUGAGAAGGGCUGCAGAACUCCCACUGGUGCGGCUGGGUUUUCACACUCCUCCCCGAGCUCUUGUGUCCUUCUAACAUUUCUGAUUAUAGCUCCCAAUUUUUUUUUUUUUUUAAUCUUCCUUGGUCCUAACAAGACCUUAAGUUUCUAGGGAAACCACUAACUAUCUUCACCCAGUACUCUACAGUUUUCUUAAUAAAUCAUCAGCAGUGCUUCCAUACAAUGCAGGAAUGACAGUGUUGGGAUAUUUUGAUUUCCCUUUGUGGGAAAAUAUAUUAUAUAGACAAAUGUAUCUAUGAUGGCAAGAAAUGAAAAGCCAAGCUUGUAGACCAUAUUAUAUAACUGUGGUGGUAAUAAGAGCUUUCAGCAAACAUGUAGUAUGUUUUUAUGCAACUCAUGCAUGUCCUGGCUCCAUCAGGGAAUCCCCAUGUAGCCAGUGGCAACAGACCAUCAGUCACCAGUGUUUGCUCUGGCAUGGACUGGCUGGGCUUUAAACUCUGACCAUCUAACAAAGUAGUCUACUGUAGUGAAACUGUACCAUUGAGGUAAUGGUUCCAUUUUGUAUGGGGGAAGAUAAAAUUAGAUGCCAGAUUUUAUAGCUUACUUUAAAAACAAGCUAUUUGCUAUACGAGUACUUUCCAUGUAAUGAUCACAGCUCCCUCUGGCUUAAGCAUUAGGCACUGGUGAUAAUAUUUUUGUACACUGGGCAUCAGAAGGGAAAGGUUGUAAUCAGUACCAGUUUCGUGGAACAUGCUCAUCUUGAUUGAUGGGCUGUGUCUGUCUUCUCUCAUGAUAGUCAUUGUUCUCAAAGGAAGCACACCACCCCUGUUUCCUUGGUAGCUGAAUGAUAGCUCUGCCUUGCCUUAAUUGGUAGCAUGUGGUGAACUGAACAAGGCAGCAAAACCAGCUUCCAAAGCCACCAGCAUCCUCUUGUUGCCCAGUCCAGUAUAGCCUUUAGUCUCAGAUUGACUGCCCUGUCUCAGCUGGUAAACCCAGUAGGUCCCUAGCUCUGUACCGUACCCUGGACAUAUGCAUGAGUGAACAAAUAAAUGAGUGGUUAAAACUUGGUGAAGAGAUGGAGGCAUAUAUUCAGUCCUAUUUAAUUCUUUUUUAAAUCAUAUGUUUAUUUAAGCAUAUACCAUCACCAGUAUAUACCACCUUCCCCUCAAGUACCAUGAUACUUCUAUGGAUGCCAGAGGACAACCUGAAGGAGUCAAUUCUCUCCAUCUAUCAUGUAGGUACUAGGGAUCAAGCACAGUCAUCAACUUUAUGGCAAGGGCUCUACCUCCUGAGCCACCUCACUAGCCUGGUUCUUCUGUUCUUAAUUCUGCUCUACAUUCUUAAUGCUAUUGGAUGUGGAUUCUGGAUGGAGCAUUUAGGUAAAGCAGAGUGGGUGUAAUGGUUUGUACAUGCUUGACCCAGGAAGUGACAUUAUUAGAAGGCGUGGUCCUGUUGGAGUAGGUGUUGUCUUGUUGGAGUACGUGUGCCACUGUGGGUGUGGGUUUUAAGACCCUUAUCCUAGUUGUCUGGAAGUCAGUAUUUUACUAGCAGCCUUCAGAUGAAGAUGUAGAACUCCCAGCUCCCCCUGCACCAUGCCUGCCUAAAUGCUGCCAUGCUCCUGCCUUGAUGAUUAUAGAUUGAAUGUCUGAUCCUGCAAGCCAGCCCCAAUUAAAUAUUAUCCUUAUAAGAGUUGUCCUGGUCAUGAUGUCUGAUCACAGCUGUAAAACCCUAACUAAGACAGUGGGGCUUGCAAUAUUCGGAAACUUUGCCCAACAUGGAACUUUAUCUCUGAAAACCUGAAAUGAUAGGAAGUUGUUAAAUUAUCCUGGCAUGAACUAAGGGUGUGGUUAGUGGGCAAUGUUUAAUAAGUAUGUCCUAAAGCUCUAAGGUCAACUCUUUAGGUUUCCUUAAAAAAACAUUUUCAGGUCUUUGUUUAUUCUCUGGUGUCAUCCCAUGAGUUUCAGCUAACUUUGUCUUGUUUUGAAGAGAUAUAAGCUUUUUGUUUCUAAAGGAAGAAAAGUAAAGAAAACUGUACCAAGCAGAAUUUAUCGGCCCACUAAGGGAGAUUCUGGCCAUCUUUGGGGUACCCAUGACACUGUUAGCCAGAAUGGUUCUGAUAGACUAUUACACUUAGCCAAGCAGUAGGAAAGUAACCUCAGCGUUUCUUUUGUCCUGCCUUCCACUGCAGUCCUCUGUGGGGAAUUUAACUCAACAGCUACAACAUUGUGUGAAUGCCAAUUCCCAUGGUGGUGGUGUUGGGGGAACAGUCAAUUUAAGAAUGCCAGCUUAGAUUCAUUCUGCAAGGGGUAAACAUUCUUUGAGCGAGGCAAUGUGGUUGCUUCCUACUCCCAGGAAAUGGCGGAUAUUGAUCCCUCAUACCUCAACAGUAACGUUCAAUGAAAGUCAGAAUAAAUGAGCUGAAGUGCCGUUGCCUUGUUUGGUAGGAUUAAAAACUGGGCUUCUGGGAAACAUCUCUGAAUUAUUUAUAUUCAUUUUUCCCCUAAUUCAUUCUAGAGCUAGCUGUUCUUAAGAGAGCAGUUAUAUUUGUAUAAACCUUGCUUACUGCUAACUGCGUGACUAUGGAAUCAAAGCAUCAUCUCAGCUAUUCUCUCCUUUUCUGACUAUUCACCAGCCAGGAUGACCUUCUGUCUCUGGCUUUUGGAGGCUGAAUCAUUCUCGAGUGAUGCUGCUAACUGAUCUGGAAGAACAGCUGGCCCAUAUACAAUCAAUCAAGCAUCUACUGAUGUUUGGAGCUAUUAGGACCACUUAUGAUUUGGUGCUAAUGCAUGUUUAUGACACAACUUAAAUGUUCCUAAAAAUAAGGAAAAGAUUGACUUGUCAAAACAGAUGCCUUGAAAAUGACCCUUCUGGGCCCCUGAAGACAUUUCCAGAAAUGACUCAGGGGUCUGUCACAGGGGAUGGCCUUUAUGUCUCGGGAUGGGUGUUUCUGUGCUGGAGGAGCUGCCACUGCUGCCAUAGCGGGGCAAAUGAGAUGAAGAAUGGGCGCCACGUGAAUCGGGACUCACACACACAGCCACUUUUUCUGCAGCCCUGUCUGCUCUGCCUUGUGAAAAGGCAGUGCUCUCACCUGUGUGACUUUCCUUGUUUUUCUUGAUUAUAUCCUUUGAAAUUCUUCAAGUUGUAAAAAUGUAAAAUGUGUAUCUUUUAAAAUUUUUGUAGGAUUGGGGGUGUAACUAGGUAACAGGGCAAUUCCAUAGCAUGCCUGCAACCUUAGGUUCUCUCCUCUAUACCGCAAGUGGAAAUCUUGGGCAUGGCUACAUUCAUGUUACGUGGACAAGUGUACAGGCAUCAUGUCAUAGAUUAUUGAGACAAACAGAAUCUCAAAGAAGCAACAGAUGCAAACAAUUUCAACUCAGUCUGACUGUGAGAAAGUAAAGACUUAUUUGAUGAGUAUCCUUCCAGACUACAAAAAGUAGUGUUCACGUGAUGCAUGUAUCAACUGACAGAUGAAUAAAUGUCAUCUAGAGUUUUCUUUGUAUGAAUACAUCAGCAUGCAUCACCACCCCAGCCAAAUCCCCCACUGCAACUCUGCCUUUCUGGUCCAGGGAGAGUGUUGCUGUCUGAAUCCAGGACAUGUGAGGUUUGUUAAAGAUGUAUUUUUCCUGGAUGCAAGGUGGACCAGUGUCACCCAGAUCAGACGAACUUAGAGGAGGAAGACUGGAUAUCCAGAGUUGUUGGAGAAGAGUCGGCUCCCAAGUGAGGACAAUCCAUCCUUUGCUAAUACUAUGGUGUGCCUCUGGCUACAUGGUUUGUAAAGAACAGAGGUUCAUUCACUUCAUGGUUCUGGAGACUGGGGAAUCUAAGGGCAUGAUACUAGCAUACAGACAGGGCCUUCUUAAAGGGCAUGAGAGAGACUAUCACAUGAGGACACAGGGCUUGGAAUUGUCUUCUCAUGAGGACACUAAUGCCAUCAUGGAGGCUCUGCCUUCAUGACACUUCUUACCCUAACCAUGUCCCCUAACAUGUCACCUCCAAAUGCCAUCAGUAUAUAGAUUGGGGGUAGAGGGGGGUAUGUUUUCAGCUCAUGAAUUUUUAAGGAACACAUUUAAACCAAAGCAGAGAAGUAUCUAGUUUCCACUAAUGUCACCUUCUCUGUAAAAUGAAAUAUUUUGUGAUGUCCUAAGUGAAGUCUCAACCUUUUAAUGGGCUCUCAGUGUUGUAGAAAGACAAGGAAAGCUCAUCCAAGUCUGUGUUUCUUAAUGGUCCAAGUGCAGGUGGCAUCGCACAGGGACUGUUCCGGAGUGUAGGCAUUAUGACCUGUCAAGUUAGAUUUUUAUCACCCCCAGUGAUUGUGGCCACAUGGGACAUAUAAGUACUCUUUUCUCUUGUAUUCAGUCACACAGCAUUGUGCAAUAUGAGUUAAACCAUUUUAUUUUCAGGGAACAUGUGCAGAAGACAUUAGUAAGCGAAAUUAGCUUUUGAGCAAACCAGCUAGAAGAUAAAAUUGAUCUGAAGGAAAAUUCAAAGAGCAAAUAAGUAUACAGACCAUCAGGAACAUGUGAUAAAUAUGCCAAACUGGGGUGAGGUCGCCAAGAGUCAUUGGUGGUACUCAUCCUGCCAGACUUAAAAUGCCCAACAGCACCCAGACACCCAGCAGAGCUGGCUAGAAGUCACAGUCACAGGUGGGUGAUGUCCUUUUACGAGUUCACUCAGUGAGAUUAUCACCGGACUCCAAUGGCUCACUAAGACCACAAAGGCAUGGCAGCUGCUUACAGGAUUCCUUAGUUAUCUGCAUCGAAGUCUUGGGGAACAUUGAAGAAUUGUUGGAUAGGAAGAUUAGAAGAGCUGGAAGAUCAGGCUGUGUGCCAUGAGAUUGAAUCUUUCAGUAAUAUCAUGAACUGCACCCAUAAAGCGUCACCACUACAACUGGCCAAAUAAGAGCCAAACCAGAAUUACAUCACUGGACUUGCCAAAGUGGAAAGGGAAAAGCCCAAAAGGACUAAGCCCUAUACCAAGUACUACUGUCUUUAUAUCCAAGUGCAAGAACACUGUUCUGUGGGGGAAACAAGGGUUUCUGGGUUUCCCCAAGUGGUGGGUCAGGUUUUUUAGUCCCUUUCUUGAAUGAGUAAGGGAGUAGUUAUUUAACAUUGCCUGGCUUUCCUCCUUGAACUUAGAACUCCCAUGGUCUUUUAAGAAUUGAAUUGCUUCCAAUGUCCUUUCUCUAAUUGUCAGGGAAUUAGAAUUAGACACAUGGCACGUUUCUCUCCAUGGUGACCACAGAGUUCUUAAAACACCCCUGAACACUGCUGUUCUGCAUCUGGAAGCACUUCUAUCUAUCAAAGACAGGGUGGCAGGUGGCACCUUAGCACAAUAGCACUCUCUUGUCAGUCCAGGCAAGGAGGAAAGUGGGUAGGCUGUUGAGGUUUGGGGAGACAGUGCUUGUCACCCCAUGCAUGCCACUCCCAGUAAACCUGUUUUCAAAAUGUGACUUUGCAUGAAUGACAUUUCUUCUUCUGUAUCUUUGGACAUGGAAUUAUGUUUGCCAUUCAGAAGUCUUGGGAGUAUUUUGUCAGUUUCAUGAUAUUUUUUUAGUUUAGGCCUAAUGGUGUUCAAUAAUAAAACACAUCCUGAUGGGAUCUACAGUGUGCAUAA